AGGAUUAACGCUGGCGGCGUGCCUAACACAUGCAAGUCGAACGAGGUAGCAAUACCUAGUGGCAGACGGGUGAGUAGCGCGUGGUCAACCUACCGUUGAGUGGGGGAUAACUAACCGAAAGGUUAGCUAAUACCGCAUACGUCUCCGAGGGGCAUCCCUUGGCGAUAAAAGGAGCAAUCCGCUCGAUGACGGGACCGCGUCCCAUUAGCUAGUUGGUGGGGUAACGGCCUACCAAGGCAUCGAUGGGUAGCUGGUUUGAGAGAGCGACCAGCCACACUGGGACUGAGAUACGGCCCAGACUCCUACGGGAGGCAGCAGUGAGGAAUUUUCCGCAAUGGGCGAAAGCCUGACGGAGCGACGCCGCGUGUGGGAAGAAGGCCUUCGGGUCGUAAACCACUGUCGAAGGGAAGAUAAUGACGGUACCCUUGGAGGAAGCCCCGGCUAACUACGCGCCAGCAGCCGC
rnacentral:rRNA from 1 species